GAUGAACGCUGGCGGCGUGCUUAACACAUGCAAGUCGAACGGAAAGGCUCCUGCUUGCUGGGGUACUCGAGUGGCGAACGGGUGAGUAACACGUGGGUGAUCUGCCCUGCACUUCGGGAUAAGCCUGGGAAACUGGGUCUAAUACCGGAUAGGACCACAUUUUGGAUGGUGUGGUGGAAAGUUUUUCGGUGUGGGAUGAGCUCGCGGCCUAUCAGCUUGUUGGUGGGGUAAUGGCCUACCAAGGCGUCGACGGGUAGCCGGCCUGAGAGGGGGUACGGCCACAUUGGGACUGAGAUACGGGGCAGACUCCUACGGGGGGCAGCAGUGGGGAAUAUUGCGCAAUGGGCGCAAGCGUGAUGCAGAGACGCCGCGUGGGGGAUGACGGCCUUCGGGUUGUAAACUCCUUUCGCUAGGGACGAAGCGUUUUUGUGACGGUACCUGGAGAAGAAGCACCGGCUAACUACGUG
rnacentral:rRNA from 1 species